AUUAGAUCAAAUUAGAUCAGAUUUAACUUUAUUGUGAUUGUGCAGAGUGCAAGAACAAAGACGACGAAAUGCAGUUUGCAUCCAACCAGAAGUGCAAGAAGAGCAGAAAAGUACAAUGUGAUACAAGUAUAGACAGGACAGGAAAUACAGUGCAGUGUAGACAGUAGUGUACAGUUGGUUUACAGAAGGUGGUUUAGAAUAAUAAAAAUUAAAUAAAAA